UCCCAGAUAGCUCAGCGGUAAAGCAUCUGCCUACCAAUGCAGAAGAUGCAGGUUCAAUCCCUGGAUUGGGAA
rnacentral:tRNA from 1 species